CACACCAUGGGAGUGAACUGUUCCGGAAAUCGGUGAGCUAACUCGCAAGAGAGGCAGCCGCUUAUGGAAUGCUUCAUGACUGGGGUG
rnacentral:rRNA from 1 species